rnacentral:piRNA from 1 species
UUCUUGGACUGGCACUGGUGA